rnacentral:lncRNA from 1 species
GGAAUGGUGCUCGGCAUAAAAACUGGGCGAAGCCCAGUCCCAGAUGUGAGUUCGUCUACAGAAUGGGGGUCCUGGGGGGCUGAGGCGGAAGAACUCCCUGAACCGCUAGAGGCAGAGAUGCUGGAAGACAUUUCGAACGACUUCAGAUGAAAGACCUAAAGAUCCCAGAGAAAUCGGAUGGGACAAAGGAUGAGAGGUUGCAGGAGACCAAAUCGGAGGAAUACGAUAGGAGAAAAUGGAGGAGAAAAGGCCCCCUAGGUGGCAAGAAGAAAAAUGAAGGUUCUGGGACUAACCUAGAUCGUUCUGG